UCCUCCGGGGAAGCGCCUCGGGACCGCAGCGCUGCAGGGAGGAAAAUGAACAAUCCCCUUUAAUUACAUCAGGGGAUUUGCACAGUGAAAGCUUCCGAAAGCCCAUGGGCUGACAGGGGGAAAUGGCAUCCAGCAGCACAGGGCAGCCCAGGCAGCCCAUCAAGAGCAAAGCCACAAAACAGAGCCAGAGGCUGCUCCAAGGCUGCCAACACAACUGCCUACAAAAGCUGCCAACGAGCCAGAAACUGCUUGUGGGAAAAUAUCACUUACCCUUAGCAUCUGGGUCCCGUGAUUGCUGUCCAAAGACACACAGACUGGUAAGAUAAUGGCAGGAUAAACAGCACUUCGUUGCUCCUUUUUCUCCCCCUUUACUCCCAAAAAUUUCUGAUACAUCACCCCCUGAACUGGGUACAAUUUAAAAAAAAAUCAGUUGUUCUAAUCUUUGUGUUACUCAUAUAAUAAAAUAAGUCCUCCUGCCUCAUCUCUAAAAAUAGCUUUUUGCACACGCUUCCCCUGGCUCUCGAUGUACGACACAUAGUGGGGCCAUUUGUUACCAUUAUUGACAUGUUUGUGGUGAACUGCAAGCAUGUUUACAGUAGGAAUGAAGUCCCUGCUCUCUUGGAGGGAAUCCUGGGGUGUCUAAAAGACUCAUGGGAGUCCUUGACAUGGAUUCUCUGAAAUGAAUUUCUGUUCCCAUAUAAAUAAAUUAUCUUGGGGCCAAAUAUUUAUAUUUUCAUUCUAUUUCAGGAAGGCAGCAGAUGCAGAAGUUCCUGAUGGUUCUAGCAGUAGUGCCCUGUACAAGUGUCUGCUGUUGGGUGUAAGGAUGAAUGGGAGCAAAAGAGGAAGAGGAGGGCUUUGUGUUUACCCCUUGCAGUAAAACAGAAUGAGAAAUGGGGCUUUUGCAGCCAGUAAAUAGGGCAAAGUGAGAACUGGCUCCCUGAGGUGAUGGGUGUCAAAAAUGCUAGUAGACCUAAAGGCCAGAGAUGCCUCAUGGCAAAUGAAUUGGCCCUAACUUCCCCAAAUUAUGCCAAAGGUUGACCAGAAUAUUUUACAGUCAUUAGCUUUUGAUCAGAAUGGAUAGAUUUCCAUUUCUAUUCACUGCAGUUUGUCUUAAAAAUACCUUGUCAUCUUAACAGCAUAGGCUGGAUUUUUUUCCCUGCAGAAAUUCACUAAAGAAGUAGACUUUAAGCAGAAUUACAGUUUGUGCAUUUGUACCACACUGAAACACACCCAGGCAAUCGCUCAUUAAAGCUGUCCAGUUAUGUGUAACAUAUAUGGGACUGUGCAAUAUGCCAGGUGUUAAACAAAACACGAGGUGACAUCAUUCUGCAGACUGGGCUAUAGAAAAUACAAUCUCCUGGUGAUCUACAGGGAAAAACUCACUGCUUUUUGGUGAACUUAAUAGAAAACGACAGAAGAGUACAAGUUGUUGUCUUUAUAUUUUGAAAUUGGGCAAAUUUGUCUCUGCAUUCACAAAUUCAUGUUUAUAAGCAACAAGCCUACACUAAAUCUGUCAUUAAAAAUGUUCUUUCUAGUAAAGAAUAAGGAGUUUAGAGUAAAAUAAACAAAAUUUAUAGGAAUAUCUGUGAGCUGCAGAUAGAUUUAGGAGUAUAGCCAGCCAGAAAAUAUCCAAGGGAGACUAACCAAUAACAUAUGAGGAAACUGCAAACUGGAGUUCCUGUAUAAUAAACAAUAUGGAGCAAUAUGGAUUCAAUGCCACAGUCUGUUUUCCUGUGUUUUCUGUGUUUUUUUAAUCCUCAAAGACAGAAAGGUGUUUGGCUACAGCUAUGGACUCCUUUGAUUGAUAGAUUAUUUGAUAAAAUGUUGCUGAGAGAUAAUUAUUUCUAUUCCUGUGUAAACUAAUUAAUUCCAAACCCUGCUCAGGAUUUUAGUACCUUCAUUAAACAAGCAGCAAACAUCAUUGCUAAACUGUUCAGCUCAUCCUGAUCCAUUGGAUGAGGACAAUACCCAAAACCAAAUGUAUCUCCAGUGUGAGGCUGAGCUCUGAGAGGAAGUUACUGUACAUAUCACUACUAUUAGCCAGCCUUGUCCUUGGAAACAAGAAAAAAAAUAGAUGUGAAAAUGCAUUUGUUUCAGUGAAGCAAAGAACAGAAAACUCACCAAGGCACCAUGAUGUGCUACAUGAUUCCUGCUUUCAGUGAUGUGGGAAGAUGGGUACAGAAAAUGUUGUUUGAUAGCUCUGAGUAUGGUCAGGAGGAAACUCAUCUUGGACAACAUCACAUGGAUGACAAGAGAUAGAUGAGAGGCUAACUCUGUUUUACAUUAAGCAGAAAAGUUGACAGUGGUAUAAAAACACUAAGUUUGUAGUUAAAGUCAGGCUUUACAUGCAGGCUUUCUAUGCAAUAUCAUAGUGCUGGUUUU